rnacentral:rRNA from 1 species
GGAUUGACAUCCUGCGAACUUCUACGAAAGUAGUUGGUGCCUUCGGGAACGCAGAGACAGGUGGUGCAUGGCUGUCGUCAGCUCGUGUCGUGAGAUGUUGGGUUAAGUCCCGCAACGAGCGCAACCCUCGUCCUUAGUUGCCAUCAUUAAGUUGGGCACUUUAAGGAGACUGCCGGUGACAAACCGGAGGAAGGUGGGGAUGACGUCAAGUCAUCAUGCCCCUUACAUCCUGGGCUACACACGUACUACAAUGCAACGGACAAAGGGCAGCCAACUAGCGAUAGUGAGCUAAUCCCAUAAACCGUUGCUCAGUUCAGAUUGCAGGCUGCAACUCGCCUGCAUGAAGGCGGAAUCGCUAGUAAUCGCAGGUCAGCAUACUGCGGUGAAUACGUUCCCGG